AGAAGACUGAGAAGGCCUUCUGUAUGUCCGGUGCAGUCGUUACAUGGAGUGAUCCCUCUUCUCACAUAUAAAGCAUCUUUGCAGUCAGCCGCUCCGCGCACACGUCGGACGGGAUCGAUACUCUGCCUGGAAACACCGUAAACUAACCGGAACCAGCGGCUGACAGAGACGGACGGGUCUCGUAGGCUACGUGGGGGUCGAUUAGGUUGAUGAGUGUGAUGAUGGGAGGAGAGCAGAGCCAUGAGAGGAAGGCUGAGAAGACAGAAGAGGAAACAUCAGGAGAAAAACAUCAGGAGUCUGUCAGUACUGACGGAUCUGCUGCUGCUGCUGAAGACACCGCCGGCGAGCUGCCCCAGUGCCAGAUGGGAAACAGGAAGGUGGACAACAUGUGUUUCAUGAUCUCGUGCACCAACUGGUACUAAAAUGGUCCUGGUACGACGGGUUCAUACGUUAAUGUGAGCAAAACUGAGAGGGUGAGAAGGUGGGAAACGUGGAGUUUGAGUUGUGGGCCAGAUGCUGCAUUCAUGAACCCACCGAAAAUCUCAGUCACACAUUCUGCGCUGCUCAGCUUCUGCUCCCAAGAGGACUUGUUUUUGAAUAUCCUGCAGUGUUAAUAUGAUGGUAGAAGAUGAGUAAGGCUCUUUAAUGCUGAGUUUUGCUUUUGUGUUUAAACUUUUAACCUGCUUCAUUAGAUAAGAUCCUGUCCUUAUUUUACAGCUCAAAUAAUAAAUAUACAUACAGCCUGUAUUAUACACUGACAGGAGCUAAAUGCUAUGUGUAACUUACAUCUUUUAAGCUCAUUAAAUGUAUCAGCUGGUUG